GCGCCGGUGGUGUAACAUCGCUGCCCGGAAAGCGUAAGAUGCGGGUUCGAGUCCCGCCUGGCGCA
rnacentral:tRNA from 1 species